rnacentral:rRNA from 1 species
GAGACUCUGUGCGCGUGCAUAUCAAUAAGCGGAGGAAAAGAAACUAACAAGGAUUCCCUUAGUAACGGCGAGUGAAGCGGGAAGAGCUCAAAUUUGAAAUCUUCAAGGUUUUACCUUGACGAAUUGUAGUUUAAAGAAGUGUUUUCUGUUGAAGUUUUGGUAAAAGUUCUUUGGAAUAGGACAUCAUAGAGGGUGAGAAUCCCGUAUUUGACCAUUAUCUUCAGCUGUGUGAUACACUUUCAAAGAGUCGGAUUGUUUGGGAAUGCAGUCCAAAAUGGGUGGUAAAUUUCAUCUAAAGCUAAAUAUUGGCGAGAGACCGAUAGCGAACAAGUACCGUGAGGGAAAGAUGAAAGAACUUUGAAAAGAGAGUUAAACAGUACGUGAAAUUGUCAAAAGGGAAGCGUUUGACACCAGUGUUGUUUUUCCGAAAAUCAAUUACGAAUGGCUUGAUUUUGUGUUGUAUUGACCUUAUCAGCUUUCUUCACUUUUUUCGAGUCUUUCUUAAUGCACUUUUCGGUUAACAAGUCAACAUCAAUUUCUUUUGUUGUAAAAGAGUAUUCGGAAGGUGGCUUUCUUUUCGGAGAAAGUGUUUAUAGCCCUAUACUUCUACAAUCGGAGAGAUUGAGGUCUGCAGCGUAGAUCCUUCGGGGUUAGAAACAUUUGUGCUAAGUUGUAGCUUUUCAUAGACAACUUGUUGACUAUGUUUAGUCAUGCGGCUUACUCGCUUAUGCUAUUUUACCUACGCUUAGGAUGUUGACUGAUAUGUAGUCGUA